ACGAACGCUGGCGGCGUGCCUAAUACAUGCAAGUUGAGCGCUGAAGGUUGGUACUUGUACCAACUGGAUGAGCAGCGAACGGGUGAGUAACGCGUGGGGAAUCUGCCUUUGAGCAGGGGACAACAUUUGGAAACGAAUGCUAAUACCGCAUAAAAACUUUAAACACAAGUUUUAAGUUUGAAAGAUGCAAUUGCAUCACUCAAAGAUGAUCCCGCGUUGUAUUAGCUAGUUGGUGAGGUAAAGGCUCACCAAGGCGAUGAUACAUAGCCGACCUGAGAGGGUGAUCGGCCACAUUGGGACUGAGACACGGCCCAAACUCCUACGGGAGGCAGCAGUAGGGAAUCUUCGGCAAUGGACGAAAGUCUGACGAGCAACGCCGCGUGAGUGAAGAAGGUUUUCGGAUCGUAAAACUCUGUUGGUAGAGAAGAACGUUGGUGAGAGUGGAAAGCUCACCAAGUGACGGUAACUACCCAGAAAGGGACGGCUAACUACGUG
rnacentral:rRNA from 1 species